rnacentral:rRNA from 1 species
UACGGAGGGGGCGAGCGUUAUCCGGAAUUAUUGGGCGUAAAGGGCGCGUAGGCGGCUUGAUGUGUCAAAGGUGAAAUCCCUCGGCUCAACUGAGGAACUGCCUUUGAAACUGUCUGGCUUGAGGCCGGGAGAGGGUAGCGGAAUUCCCAGUGUAGCGGUGAAAUGCGUAGAGAUCGGGAGGAACACCUGUGGCGAAGGCGGCCACCUGGGCCGACCCUGACGCUGAGGCGCGAAGGCGUGGGGAGCGAACGGG